GGGAUGACACAGUAGGAUAAGCUAAGCACACUGUUGGUUAUGUGUGCCCAAGCAUUGAGGCAGUCAAAGUAGGCAAAUCCGCUUUGAUAAUGCUGGGAUGUGAUGGGGAGCGAAAUUUAGUAGCGAAGUAGCUGAUUUCACACUGUCAAGAAAAGUCUCUAUCGAGGUUAAAGGUACCCGUACCGCAAACCGACACAGGUGGGUGAGGAGAGUAUCCUAAGGCCAGCGAGAGAACUGUUGUUAAGGAACUCGGCAAAAUGACCCCGUAACUUAGGGAUAAGGGGUGCCACCAUCAGGUGGCCGCAGAGAAUAGGCCCAAGCGACGGUUUACCAAAAACAUAGGUUUCUGCUAAGUCGCAAGACGAUGUAUAGGAGCUGACGCCUGCCCGGUGCUGGAAGGUUAAGGGGAUCUGUUAGAG
rnacentral:rRNA from 1 species